GAUGAAGAACGCAGCGAAAUGCGAUAAGUAAUGCGAAUUGCAGAAUUCAGUGAAUCAUCGAAUCUUUGAACGCACAUUGCGCCCGCCAGUAUUCUGGCGGGCAUGCCUGUCCGAGCGUCAUUUCAACCCUCGAGCCCCUCCGGGGGGUCGGCGUUGGGGAUCGGCCCUCCCUCGCGGGGGCCGCCCCCGAAAUGCAGUGGCGGUCCCGCCGCAGCCUCUCCUGCGCAGUAGUUUGCACAACUCGCACCGGGAGCGCGGCGCGGCCACAGCCGUAAAACACCCCAAGCAUUCUGAAAUGUUGACCUCGGAUCAGGUAGGAAUACCCGCUGAACUUAAGCAUAUCAAUAAGCGGAGGA
rnacentral:misc_RNA from 1 species